UCAGAACGAACGCUGGCGGCAGGCCUAACACAUGCAAGUCGAGCGAGAACUUCGGUUCUAGCGGCGGACGGGUUAGUAACGCGUGGGAACGUGCCCUUCACUACGGAAUAGUCCCGGGAAACUGGGUUUAAUACCGUAUACGCCCUUCGGGGGAAAGAAUUUCGGUGAAGGAUCGGCCCGCGUUAGAUUAGAUAGUUGGUGGGGUAACGGCCUACCAAGUCUACGAUCUAUAGCUGGUUUUAGAGGAUGAUCAGCAACACUGGGACUGAGACACGGCCCAGACUCCUACGGGAGGCAGCAGUGGGGAAUCUUAGACAAUGGGCGCAAGCCUGAUCUAGCCAUGCCGCGUGAGUGAUGAAGGCCUUAGGGUCGUAAAGCUCUUUCGCCAGGGAUGAUAAUGACAGUACCUGGUAAAGAAACCCCGGCUAACUCCGUGCCAGCAGCCGCGGUAAUACGGAGGGGGUUAGCGUUGUUCGGAAUUACUGGGCGUAAAGCGCGCGUAGGCGGAUUGGAAAGUUGGGGGUGAAAUCCCAGGGCUCAACCCUGGAACUGCCUCCAAAACUAUCAGUCUAGAGUUCGAGAGAGGUGAGUGGAACUCCGAGUGUAGAGGUGAAAUUCGUAGAUAUUCGGAAGAACACCAGUGGCGAAGGCGGCUCACUGGCUCGAUACUGAC
rnacentral:rRNA from 1 species